rnacentral:rRNA from 1 species
CCUACGGGUGGCUGCAGUAGGGAAUAUUGCUCAAUGGGGGAAACACUGAAGCAGCAACGCCGCGUGGAGGAUGAAGGUUUUCGGAUUGUAAACCCAUUUUGUUAGAGAAGAUAAUGACGGUACCCAACGAAUAAGCAGCGGCUUACUCCGUGCCAGCAGCCGUGGGAAUACGGAGGGGGCAAGCGUUACUCGGAAUCACUGGGCGUAAAGAGCGCGUAGGCGGGAUAGCAAGUCAGAUGUGAAAUCCUAUGGCUUAACCAUAGAACUGCCUUUGAAACCGUUAGUCUAGAGUAUGGGAGAGGUAGGUGGAAUUCUUGGUGUAGGGGUAAAAUCCGUAGAGAUCGAGAGGAAUACUCAUUGCGAAGGCGACCUGCUAGAACAUAACUGACGCUGAUGCGCGAAAGCGUGGGGAUCGAACAGGAUUAGAUACCCCAGUAGUC